rnacentral:lncRNA from 1 species
ACCCGGACUCUGUCAUCCCUCUGACCUUUCACCAGGACUUGCCUUCUCUUUUCAUCUUCAAUAACUUUCGAAGCUCUAGCCAAUCUCUCCUUGGUGAUGUCAUGCUCCCGGUUAGAUGAGACUAAGGCCUGGCUAAUCUUCCCAUAGUAGGCUGUAUCCAUCUCAAAGCGCUUCGCUUCCAGGGCAUGUCGCUUGCCUUGAUCUUCCAUCUUUUCCUUGAGCUCCUGAUUAACCCUCUGAACCCGAGCCAC